UGGGUUGUGGCUCAACGGUAGAGCACUCACCUAGCACAUGUGAGGCCCUGGGCUCUAUCCUCAGCACCACAU
rnacentral:tRNA from 1 species